AGGACGAACGCUGGCGGCGUGCUUAACACAUGCAAGUCGAGCGGUAAGGCCCCUUCGGGGGUACACGAGCGGCGAACGGGUGAGUAACACGUGAGCAAUCUGCCCUUCACUUUGGGAUAACCACCGGAAACGGUGGCUAAUACCGGAUACGACCAGUCUCUGCAUGGGGUGCUGGUGGAAAGUUCUGGCGGUGGAGGAUGAGCUCGCGGCCUAUCAGCUUGUUGGUGGGGUAAUGGCCUACCAAGGCGACGACGGGUAGCCGGCCUGAGAGGGUGACCGGCCACACUGGGACUGAGACACGGGCCAGACUUCUACCGGAAGGCAGCAGUGGGGAAUAUUGGACAAUGGGCGAAAGCCUGAUCCAGCAACCGCCGCGUGAGGGAUGACGGCCUUUGGGUUGAAACCUUUUUAGCAGGGACGAAGCGCAAGUGACGGUACCUGCAGAAGAAGCACCGGCCAACUACGUGCCAGCAGCCGCGGUAAUACGUAGGGUGCGAGCGUUGUCCGGAAUUAUUGGGCGUAAAGGGCUCGUAGGCGGUUUGUCACGUCGGGAGUGAAAACUCGGGGCUUAACCCCGAGCCUGCUUCCGAUACGGGCUGACUAGAGGUAUGCAGGGGAGAACGGAAUUCCUGGUGUAGCCGGUGAAAUGCGCAGAUAUCAGGAGGAACACCGGUGGCGAAGGCGGUUCUCUGGGCAUUACCUGACGCUGAGGAGCGAAAGUGUUGGGGAGCGAACAGGAUUUAAUACCCUUGGUAGUCCACACCGUAAACGCUAGGUGUGGGACUCAUUCCACGAGUUCCGUGCCGCAGCUAACGCAUUAAGCGCCCCGCCUGGGGAGUACGGCCGCAAGGCUAAAACUCAAAGGAAUUGACGGGGGCCCGCACAAGCGGCGGAGCAUGCGGAUUAAUUCGAUGCAACGCGAAGAACCUUACCUGGGUUUGACAUAUAGAGAAAUCCUCCAGAGAUGGGGGGUCCGGUAAGGGCUCUAUACAGGUGGUGCAUGGCUUGUCGUCAGCUUCGUGUCGUGAGAUGUUGGGGUUAAGUCC
rnacentral:rRNA from 1 species